GUUAUAACACGGUCACAUUAACUAGACGCACGGUUUGAUGACGUCAUUACGGAGCGUGCAUGUUAUUGCAUUCCAAAAAUGCGUCAAUUUAAUG